rnacentral:piRNA from 1 species
UGAAUCUCUGCAUGCCCACACCCUACACA